CCUACGGGUGGCAGCAGUGGGGGAUAUUGCACAAUGGGGGAAACCCUGAUGCAGCGACGCCGCGUGUGGGCAGACGGUCCUCUGGAUUGCAAACCACUGUCCCCAGGGACGAAGAGGACGGUACCUGGGGAGGAAGCUCCGGCUAACUACGAGCCAGCAGCCGCGGUAAGACGUAGGGAGCGAGCGUUGUCAGGAAGUACUGGGUGUAAAGGGAGGGUAGGCGUGGAUGCAAGUUGUGUGUAAAAACUACCGGCUCAACUGGUAGUCGCACUCAAAACUGCAGCUCUAGAGUGAAGUAGAGGCAGGCGGAAGUACUAGUGUAGCGGUAAAAUGCGUAGAUAUUAGGAGGAACACCAGUGGCGAAGGCGGCCUGCUGGGCUUUUACGGACGCUGAGGCUCGAAAGUGUGGGGAGCAAACAGGAGUAGAUACCCGAGUAGUC
rnacentral:rRNA from 1 species